UGAAGGAAGACUUCCAGGCCCCAGUGGGCGUUGUAAAAGCCCAGUGAAGCUGCCUGAUCCAGUCUGGCUGCAUUUCUUCAGAACCACCUCUAAGCACGGAUGAGCUCCACAGGAAAUCAGGAAAAAAACAAGACACCAAGAAAGCAAAUCCCACUCAUCAAGCCCUUGGCAAGUGUCCAGUGAGGAACGCUGGUAAAUUCCGUAGAGCUGUAUCGCUUGCUCAGGAUGACUCCCCGAGGAGGAAUCCAUCUUCAAGGGUGAGUUUGAAUGCCACCUCCUCCAUGAAGUCUCUCCUGCAAUCAUCUGCUCCCAUGCCCAGCUAGACCUGACGUCCUACAAGAUGAUCUGUGCCACCAACCUGAACCUGCAAAGCUAUUCUGUGGAGGGAAAAGGAGGCACAGUCACGCAUGUAUUCGUUAAACAGAUUGCCUGCCUGCCUGUGUUGUUUGGUAGCACUUACCCACGUGCUACCGGAGAUGCUAACAUGCAGCCUGGCUCUGAAGGCGAGUGCCAAGAAAGUGUUGGGGAUAAACAUUUGGAAGCAGCCAGCCCUUGGCAUGGUACCCAUUCUGUUCUUGCUGAACUGCAUGC